rnacentral:rRNA from 1 species
UACCAGCACCCCGAGUGGUCGGGACGAUUAUUGGGCCUAAAGCAUCCGUAGCCGGUCAUGCAAGUCCUCCCGUUAAAUCCACCUGCUUAACAGAUGGGCUGCGGAGGAUACUACAAGGCUAGGAGGCGGAAGAGGCAAGCGGUACUCAGUGGGUAGGGGUAAAAUCCUCUGAUCCAUUGAAGACCACCAGUGGCGAAGGCGGCUUGCCAAUACGCGCUCGACGGUGAGGGAUGAAAGCUGGGGGAGCAAACCGGG